CCCGGAGGAACCAAAGGUUCUAUCUAUCUAGUGAGAAGUGUAAUUGUUGGGUUCUAAUAUAUUUGAUAUCGGUCAGGUCUUAGGGUAGAGACUUGAUAAAGUGUAAUCCAAUUACAUGACAAAGACAGUCAUCCAGAGCACCCCACCCACCCCUUUCACGCAUCCAUUGCCACCAUGUGCCCCCUUUACAUUUCUGUCUGCCCCCUCAUAUGUCUGUCUAGAACCAGCACACAAUUUUCCGUAUUGUCUUACCAGAGUCCUGGUGUUUCCCGUGUUCACCUGUUUUCUCUUUAUAUGUUCACACUGCAUUUCUGGAUGAAGUUGUCCGAUCAGCGAUCAGAGAUCCAAUCCUUUCACGUUAUUGUGAUGGAUGUGGUGUUUAUGAGGAAACACCGGGAGGUGGAGGUUUAGCGUGCCCGCGCAGCAGAUCGACACGCCCGCUUCUGCCUCAGCUCUCUUCGCCGUCUAAGCUGCUGCUGGUCCGGCUGACGAUCCACGGCGAGCUCGGUAGUUUAUAAGAUUUCCUCCAGAGUGUUGUAGACCCUCUAAAAGAAAUCGUUGUGAUGGAUUUAAAACCGUUAAUAUGAUGUCGGUUAGGUCUGGUCAGCUACCCGCAGUGCAGACAGCACGUCCACGCGUAGCUGAGAGAACAGUCGCCAUGUUUCCAGUUUUCCUGUAGUUGUAUCCAGGCCCCAAACACAAGCUCCUUAUUCCUCUCCGUCUCUGCUCCAUGUUCACUCCAAACAGUUUGUAGCUGCUUUGAUAAACACACACAGCUCCUUUGUGACCGAUUAAACACGAAAACAAACAUUUUAUCGUCGAAUAAUCCGGAGACGGAGGAAACUUCCCACCGCGCUCAUCGACGUCCAGAAACAACCACGACAAAACAAAAAGGUCCAAAUCCAAAGUUAAGCAGAGUUUAUCUCCAGGUACUCCUUCAAAGUCGUCCGGUCACCACAGUUAGACUUUCUGAGUUAUAUUUAGUGGUGUGUCCUGUGUGUCGAAGCAUCGAAUCGUGCUUCGGGUAAUCUCGGGGGCGUUUUUGUGAAGCGCGUAUCGAGGCUUGCUUUGAUUACGUAUGCAGUGACGUUCGAGGCCUCGCGGGCAGUCCGUACCACGUGACUGAUUCAGGAACUGUCUCGCCGGUUCGCGCUAGAUUCGAAAUAAAAUGGGCAGCAAAACACAGCUGAUUCCCCCAUCACACUGUGUUGUGGAAUUGGAUUGCUUACGUGCUACAUAGUUACUUGAGCAUUUCUUCUUCGAUGGAGCCUGCAAGGAAGAGAUUAGUUUUCUCUUCUAACCAGGGGCGGAUCUAGAAGGGUGGCAUGGGGUGGCAAGUGCCACCCUAAAAUGAUCCCUUGCCACCCCAAGUGCCACCCCAGUUUUGCAUAUGACAGUGUUGUUUAUUAAAAUAAGAUAACAUUAACAGUUUGGGCGUAGUUACAGUUAACAGUGAAUAUAAAUGCUAAAACUGAAUAUAUUGCAUAGUGUUCCCCCCCUCCACCAUUAACAAAUGGUUCAGCCCAUAGCAGGACCGGCUUUUUUCUUGUUUUCAGUAACAAGAUGCUUAUGAUUGUGCCAGAGCACAUUUUGAACAACACCAUGGGAAUUUCGGAUUUUACACAGGUGGUUGGAUGCUACACUCUGGAAAUGGAAGGAAGGUGAGUGUUAUUAACCCUCUGUGGUCCACGGACACGCUGCACCUCCAAAUCACAUGACUAUUUUAAGCUGACAUAGCAACAAGCUGCAGCCACGCUGAGUCUCUAUUUCAGCCCACAUUAAAAGUUCGGACUUCAUAGUUUUUAAAUUUUAAUUACAGGCCAGUAAAUCCAGAGUUAUGAUAAUAUAUAUAAGCCAUGCUUUUUUCUAAAUACUGUCGUCACGUUUUUGUGUGUGUGUGUUUUAAGCGUUUUCUAAGGAAAGCGCGAAAACAGUAAAGAAAGGAAAAGAAGCCACCUCUUUCCUAUCGGUGGAAAAAUGUACCAUGUCGACCAAUUUAAAAAAAAAAAGUCAACACGUGUGAUUUGGUUGUUUAGGAAGAGGGAAAAGUUUUGGGAGUGACGGUAACGGCAGCGAGACAGAGCGAGCGAGUGAGAGAGAGGGAGAGAGUUUUUAGAUGUGGGAGAUUUGUGAUGUUUAGUGUGGAGUGUAUACUUAGUGUGUUGUGUUGUCUUGUGUAGUCGUUCUGUUGUGUAGUCGUUGUUUUGUCUUGUGUGUCAGUGAGGGCACUAAUGAACGUCACUAAGGCACAUUGCAAUGUAAACACUGUCACUAAGUAGAAAACCAGCGGAGUGAUACACCUCCUGCUGUAAGGCCUGCAGGUUUAUCCCUGUGCUGUUCUCCUCUGUCUUUUGGUGGACAACCUUUUUUUUACUGGCACACAUCAUUUGUGGGGCAUCUUAUUGUGACACCUGAUUGUUCUCUCAUUUUAGUUUUAGUAAUAUUUUGAAAUGGUUGUACAAAAUGAAGAAAACGGCAGGUGUAUUGGCUGCAUUUUUUAGAUAAAUAGUUGUAUAUAUUUACAAAAUGUACAUUUUAUAUUUGCAUUUCAAGUUAUAAAAAUUUAGUCAACAUGCCUGUGGUUUUUUUUACAGUAAAAAAAUACUACUAGGAUUUUAAGUUCUUUGUGUGACUUCAGAUCAGUAAUACUAAUGCAGUAUGUCAGUGAAAAAAACAACUAAAUUCAGUUGAGCUGAAAAGAACGAUACCAAACAAGGCAAAGGGAAAAAAAUAAAAUGAAACAAUCUGAGGGUGAAAUACAAACGUAAACUCAAAAUUAAUAAAAAAUGGCCGGUUGUAUUUCAGACCCGAGUGGGUUAAUCCAACAAAUCAUGAAAAAUUAGGUUUAAAUUUUUAUUCAUGACAGUGCAGAUUUCUGACAUUUUGUGUAAUUUAAGCUGUAACAACGUGAUUGUUUUCUAACAAAUAACAGUGUGAAACUUAAGUUAGACUUGUGUUUGUAAAUGAACCGCCCCAUGUUGUGUAGCUUUCUGGGUUUUAUACUUAUUGGGCUACAUAUUUAGGCUAUACAGUACAUAGAGUCAAAACUCACAUGUUUUAUGUAACUAAAGUGUUUAAUUAUGUGGGCUACAGACAAUAAUUAAGUUAUAGACUAUAUUUAUAUGAAAAACGUGUAUACUUAGUGCAUUUGAAUUAUUUUAACCAUAUGUAACCACCUGCAUAUGUGUUUGGGGGAAAAAAAAGGCUUUGAUUUUGCCACCCCAUUUAAUUUCUUUGCCACCCUCAUGCCACCCUAAGAAAAUUUCUCUAGAUCCGCCCCUGCUUCUAACAAAGUAUGCACACAGUAAUAAAUAUCACAAAUGAUAAGUACCAUAAUAUAAAUAAACAACAGUACAGAUCCUAUAACCUGAUUUAUGUCUUUUAGUUUAUUAAAAAGUGAAGCGCCACACAGUUUGUGUCAUUAUCCAGAUGUACAUAAGCAUGAUUACACAGUUAUAGGGGCGGGUUUUGAUUAUCGAUUAAAAUCGAUUCUCGCUUGGAAAACGUGAUAUUGUUUAAUUAAAACCCUGAAUCGAUUUUUAAUAUAAAUUUAUUUUGCCCGAAAUGCCAGAAUCUCAGGUUAAACCUCACAAAAAUUUCAACAACCACCAAACAGCUAAAACAGUAAAUGACAGCAGGUACACGGAUUCUGCACAAAGACGCAAACACAAAGCGCGGAACCGCUGACGGAUCAGAAUCAGUGAGAUGUCGCCUUUGUCACCCGACGGACAGCUCACUGAUUCUCAUGUGUCGGCGGGUCCGCGCUUCGUUUUUACAUCUUUUUGCGCUGAUUCUGACGCUGCAGGUUUUAUUUCUCUCCAAACAAUAUUGACUGAACCAGCAGCAAAAGAAGAUCCAAACUACGCUUUACAUAAACAUCGUCACGAAUUCCCUCUGAGCUCUGACUUUUGUCUGUGAAGGUUCUCAGUCAUCCAGGUCAUCGUAGUCAAAGGAGUUUGCAAAGAAAAGCGUCUGGACUUCUUUGAGUUGCUUGAAGACGUUUCACUUCUCAUCCGAGAAGCUUCUUCAGUUCUAAGGUCAAAUGGCCGAGAGUCCCAGAUUUAAACCCAGUGGGAGUCCCCCCAAGGAGGGACAAAGGACCCCCUGGUGAUCCUCUAAUCACAUGCGCCAAGGUGUGAAAGCGGGUGUGGGACCUAAUCAGCCAGGCUGAUUCUCUCGGCUGAUUCUCUGGGACUCUCGGCCAUUUGACCUUAGAACUGAAGAAGCUUCUCGGAUGAGAAGUGAAACGUCUUCAAGCAACUCAAAGAAGUCCAGACGCUUUUCUUUGCAAACUCCUUUGCCUCUGACUUUUGCUGUUUUGCUUCCACCACGAUAAAAAUCACACUUCAUGCACAGCUCUCCCCCUCUGUUGGAAAGGCUGUCAGCUGUGGGAGGGGAGCCCCCUUGUGGUGAGAGAGCACAGUUGCACUACUGAGCACAUGUUCCAGUGAUCAGAGUUGGAGCUAACACAUAGCAAGAGCCACCUGACAGACUGACUCAGCAGGGGAUGUCUACACACGGUACCCAGUGGCGGUCCUAGCCUGUUUGGCGCCCCAGGCGAACACGCCCUCUGGCGCGCCCCCCCCCCCCCCCCCCCCCCCCCCCCCACACACACACACACACACACAUACAGUUAAGCCCAUAAUUAUUCAUACCCCUGGCAAAUUUUGACUUAAAGUUACUUUUACUCAACUAGCAAGUUAUUUUUUGACUGGAAAUGACACAGGCGUCUCACAAAAGAUAAUAAGAUGAUGUACAAGAUGCAUCAUUGUGGAAAAAAAUAUUUCUCAGCUUUUAUUUACAUUUGAGCAAAAAGUAUCAUGUCCAGAAUUAUUCAUACCCUUUACAAACUGUCACAGUCUCUGGGAAAAUCCAAAGUUCCAUACCAUUCCAAAUAGUCAAAGCUGUUCUAAAGCAUCCUAAUUACCCUGAUUAAUGGGAAAUAGCUGUUUUGAUCAACUCAACAGGUGAAAAACAGCAGCUCUCUGCAGGUGGUCUGUGGACAUUCAUGGCUAAGACAAAGGAACUCAGUGAGGACCUGCAGCUGUGCAUUG
rnacentral:lncRNA from 1 species